rnacentral:rRNA from 1 species
CCUACGGGACGCAGCAGUGGGGACUAUUGCGCAAUGGGCGAAAGCCUGACGCAGCGACGCCGCGUGAGGGAUGAAGGUCUUCGGAUCGUAAACCUCUGUCAGCAGGGAAGAACGGUCACUGUGCUAAUCAGCAGUGAAUUGACGGUACCUGCAAAGGAAGCACCGGCUAACUCCGUGCCAGAAGCCGCGUUAAUACGGCGGGUGCGAGCGUUACUCGGAAUUCCUGGGCGUAAAGCGCUCGUAGGCGGUAUGUCAAGUCAAGGGUGAAAUCCCCGCGCUCAACGUGGGAACGGCCUUUGAAACUGGCAAACUGGAGUGUGUGAGAGGAUAGUGGAAUUCCAGGUGUAGGAGUGAAAUCCGUAGAUAUCUGGAGGAACAUCAGUGGCGAAGGCGACUAUCUGGCACAUAACUGACGCUGAGGAGCGAAAGCGUGGGUAGCAAACAGGAUUAGAUACCCCUGUAGUC